rnacentral:rRNA from 1 species
CAGCCGCCGCGGUAAUACGUAGGUGGCAAGCGUUGUCCGGAAUUAUUGGGCGUAAAGGGCUCGCAGGCGGUUUCUUAAGUCUGAUGUGAAAGCCCCCGGCUCAACCGGGGAGGGUCAUUGGAAACUGGGAAACUUGAGUCCAGAAGAGGAGAGUGGAAUUCCACGUGUAGCGGUGAAAUGCGUAGAGAUGUGGAGGAACACCAGUGGCGAAGGCGACUCUCUGGUCUGUAACUGACGCUGAGGAGCGAAAGCGUGGGGAGCGAACAGGAUUAGAUACCCCUGUAGUCCCUGUCUCUUAUAC